UACGUAGGGCGCAAGCGUUGUCCGGAAUUAUUGGGCGUAAAGAGCUCGUAGGCGGUUUGUCGCGUCUGCUGUGAAAACCUAGGGCUCAACCUUGGGCUUGCAGUGGGUACGGGCAGACUAGAGUGCGGUAGGGGUGACUGGAAUUCCUGGUGUAGCGGUGGAAUGCGCAGAUAUCAGGAGGAACACCGAUGGCGAAGGCAGGUCACUGGGCCGCAACUGACGCUGAGGAGCGAAAGCAUGGGGAGCGAACAGG
rnacentral:rRNA from 1 species